AGUUACCUACAAGCACGUCUCGAUACCUUGGCUUAAUAAAGGCCAGUUGUGAAGUGUUUGGGGGAACUCU